ACGGAGGGUGCAAGCGUUGUUCGGAAUUAUUGGGCGUAAAGCGCGUGUAGGCGGUCAUGUAAGUCAGAUGUGAAAGCCUUCUGCUUAACGGAAGAAGUGCAUUUGAAACUGCAUGACUAGAGUACGGGAGAGGAGAGUGGAAUUCCCGGUGUAGAGGUGAAAUUCGUAGAUAUCGGGAGGAACACCAGUGGCGAAGGCGGCUCUCUGGAUCGAUACUGACGCUGAGACGCGAAAGCGUGGGGAGCAAACAG
rnacentral:rRNA from 1 species